AAGCAGGGUUUGAUGUGCAGUAUGUGCCUGAAAUGUCUGCUUCUGGUUUCCUUACACAGGAGGAUGGUCCUAGCUUUUGUGGAUUUGGGAGACCAGCUGAUAGAAAGUACAUGGUCCUUGCCGUAGCUUCUGCUUUUUCUUGUGCUCAUCACUAACUCCACAUAUGAAACAGCAAGUCCGAAAAAAAUCACUSGGAUAUGGCAGGGGGAAAAGGCUGGAAUGCUACUUGGCAAAYCUUAGACACCAGACAGUAAAGCGUSGCUACUGUAAACAAGCCAAUGAUGAAUCAUUUGAAAUGCAAUUUGUGCAUUUUAUCCUCUUCG
rnacentral:lncRNA from 1 species